UGAUCCUGGCUCAGAUUGAACGCUGGCGGCAGGCCUAACACAUGCAAGUCGAGCGGAAACGAGUUAUCUGAACCUUCGGGGAACGAUAACGGCGUCGAGCGGCGGACGGGUGAGUAAUGCCUAGGAAAUUGCCCUGAUGUGGGGGAUAACCAUUGGAAACGAUGGCUAAUACCGCAUAAUACCUACGGGUCAAAGAGGGGGACCUUCGGGCCUCUCGCGUCAGGAUAUGCCUAGGUGGGAUUAGCUAGUUGGUGAGGUAAUGGCUCACCAAGGCGACGAUCCCUAGCUGGUCUGAGAGGAUGAUCAGCCACACUGGAACUGAGACACGGUCCAGACUCCUACGGGAGGCAGCAGUGGGGAAUAUUGCACAAUGGGCGCAAGCCUGAUGCAGCCAUGCCGCGUGUGUGAAGAAGGCCUUCGGGUUGUAAAGCACUUUCAGUCGUGAGGAAGGUNGUAUAGUUAAUAGCUGCAUUAUUUGACGUUAGCGACAGAAGAAGCACCG
rnacentral:rRNA from 1 species